GACGAACGCUGGCGGCGUGCUUAACACAUGCAAGUCGAACGGAAAGGCCCUGCUUUUGUGGGGUGCUCGAGUGGCGAACGGGUGAGUAACACGUGAGUAACCUGCCCUUGACUUUGGGAUAACUUCAGGAAACUGGGGCUAAUACCGGAUAGGAGCUCCUGCUGCAUGGUGGGGGUUGGAAAGUUUCGGCGGUUGGGGAUGGACUCGCGGCUUAUCAGCUUGUUGGUGGGGUAGUGGCUUACCAAGGCUUUGACGGGUAGCCGGCCUGAGAGGGUGACCGGCCACCUUGGGACUGAGAUACCGCCCAGACUCCUACGGGGGGCAGCCGUGGGGAAUAUUGCACAAUGGGCGGAAGCCUGAUGCAGCAACGCCGCGUGCGGGAUGACGGCCUUCGGGUUGUAAACCGCUUUCGCCUGUGACGAAGCGUGAGUGACGGUAAUGGGUAAAGAAGCACCGGCUAACUACGUG
rnacentral:rRNA from 1 species